GAUGAACGCUGGCGGCGUGCUUAACACAUGCAAGUCGAACGGAAAGGCUCCUGCUUGCAGGGGUACUCGAGUGGCGAACGGGUGAGUAACACGUGGGUGAUCUGCCCUGCACUUCGGGAUAAGCCUGGGAAACUGGGUCUAAUACCGGAUAGGACGAUGGUUUGGAUGCCAUUGUGGAAAGUUUUUUCGGUGUGGGAUGAGCUCGCGGCCUAUCAGCUUGUUGGUGGGGUAAUGGCCUACCAAGGCGUCGACGGGUAGCCGGCCUGAGAGGGUGUACGGCCACAUUGGGACUGCGCUACGGCCCAGACUCCUACGGGAGGCAGCAGUGGGGAAUAUUGCACAAUGGGCGCAAGCCUGAUGCAGCGACGCCGCGUGGGGGAUGACGGCCUUCGGGUUGUAAACUCCUUUCGCUAGGGACGAAGCGCAAGUGACGGUACCUGGAGAAGAAGCACCGGCUAACUACGUG
rnacentral:rRNA from 1 species